AGUGAACGCUGGCGGUAGGCCUAACACAUGCAAGUCGAACGGCAGCACAGUAAGAGCUUGCUCUUACGGGUGGCGAGUGGCGGACGGGUGAGGAAUACAUCGGAAUCUACUUUUUCGUGGGGAAUAACGUAGGGAAACUUACGCUAAUACCGCAUACGACCUACGGGUGAAAGCAGGGGAUCUUCGGACCUUGCGCGAUUGAAUGAGCCGAUGUCGGAUUAGCCAGUUGGCGGGGUAAAGGCCCACCAAGGCGACGAUCCGUAGCUGGUCUGAGAGGAUGAUCAGCCACACUGGAACUGAGACACGGUCCAGACUCCUACGGGAGGCAGCAGUGGGGAAUAUUGGACAAUGGGCGCAAGCCUGAUCCAGCCAUACCGCGUGGGUGAAGAAGGCCUUCGGGUUGUAAAGCCCUUUUGUUGGGAAAGAAAAGCAGCAGGUUAAUACCCCGCUGUUCUGACGGUACCCAAAGAAUAAGCACCGGCUAACUUCGUG
rnacentral:rRNA from 1 species